rnacentral:ncRNA from 1 species
UGGUUGAGGGGCAUCUAGUUUGCUUCCAUGUCUUGCUAUUAAAAAUAAUACUGCUUUCAACAUAGUUGAACAGAUGUCCUUGUUGUAUGAUCGUGCAUCUUUUACGUAUAUGCCUAAGAGCAGGACUGUUGGAUUUUGUGGUAGACUGAUUCCCAUUUUCCUGUUGAAUCCACAUACUGACUCCCAAAGUGGCUGUAUGAGUUUGCACUGCCACCAGAAAGGAGGAGUGUUCCCCUUUCUCCACAUCCUCUCCAGAUUAAAAGGUCCUUUGGUUUUUUAUUUUGGCCAUUCUGACAGGAGCAAAAUAGUAUCUCAUUGUUGUUUUCAUUUGCAGUUCCCUGAUUGUAGGGAGACACUGUAGCCCCGCCUCCUAGUAGCCCAGACAGGUGUGCUGGGACACCCCCAUAAGGGCAUGGUCAGGGGAGGUCUAAAGGUGAUGCAGGGAGGAUUCUUAGAGGGAUGGCUGGGGCAUUCAUUGCUCCUCUAGAGGUGAAAUUCUUGGACCGGCGCAAGAUGGACCAGAGCGAAAGCAUUUGCCAAGAAUGUUUUCAUUAAUCAAGAAUGAAAGUCGGAGGUUCGAAGACAAUCAGAUACCAUCGCAAAGAUGAUCCGUAGUCCG